UACGGGGGGGAGCAAGCGUUGUUCGGAUUUACUGGGCGUAAAGGGCGCGUAGGCGGCCACCGCAAGUCGACUGUGAAAAUCUCCGGGCUUAACCCGGAAAGGUCAGCCGAUACUGCGGGGCUAGAGUGCAGAAGGGGCAACUGGAAUUCUCGGUGUAGCGGUGAAAUGCGUAGAUAUCGAGAGGAACACCGGUGGCGAAGGCGGCGACCUGGUCCGUGACUGACGCUGAGGCGCGAAAGCGUGGGGAGCAAACAGG
rnacentral:rRNA from 1 species